rnacentral:rRNA from 1 species
GACAGGGGGUGCAAACGUUGUUCGGAAUUACUGGGCGUAAAGCGCAUGUAGGCGGCAACGCAAGUCGGGCGUGAAAUCCCACGGCUCAACCGUGGAAGUGCACUCGAAACUGCGUAGCUAGAGUCCUGGAGAGGAAGGUGGAAUGCUUGGUGUAGAGGUGAAAUUCGUAGAUAUCAAGCGGAACACCGGUGGCGAAGGCGGCCUUCUGGACAGUGACUGACGCUGAGAUGCGAAAGCGUGGGGAGCAAACAGG